rnacentral:rRNA from 1 species
CAUGUAGGCGGCUUUGCAAGACAGAUGUGAAAUCCCCGGGCUCAACCUGGGAACUGCAUUUGUGACUGCAUGGCUGGAGUGCGGCAGAGGGGGAUGGAAUUCCGCGUGUAGCAGUGAAAUGCGUAGAUAUGCGGAGGAACACCGAUGGCGAAGGCAAUCCCCUGGGCCUGCACUGACGCUCAUGCACGAAAGCGUGGGGAUCAAACAGGAUUAGAUACCCGUGUA